UUACAAAUUUGCACAUAUUCUGACAUUGGGUGGAUACGGAGAAAAUUCGCAGGGCCCCUGUGCAAGGAAGAAACACACUCGUGCAGUGUUCCAUAGUAAA
rnacentral:snRNA from 1 species